rnacentral:rRNA from 1 species
GACGAACGCUGGCGGCGUGCUUAACACAUGCCAGUCGAACGGGCCUUGUCCCCUUUUUUUUGGGGGUGGGGUUAGUGGCGAACGGGUGAGUAACACGUGAGUAACCUGCCCCUCACUUCUGGAUAACCGCUUGAAAGGGUGGCUAAUACGGGGUGUUCUGGCCUGCUCGCAUGGGUGGGUUUGGAAAGAUUCGACCGGUUUUGGUUGUGUUGGUGGGGGAUGGGCUCGCGGCCUAUCAGCUUGUUGGUGGGGGGAUGGCCUGCCAAGGCUUUGACGGGUAGCCGGCCUGAGAGGGUGGGCGGUCACACUGGGACUGAGACACGGCCCAGACUCCUACGGGAGGCAGCAGUGGGGAAUAUUGCACAAUGGGCGCAAGCCUGAUGCAGCGACGCCGCGUGAGGGAUGGAGGCCUUCGGGUUGUGAACCUCUUUCGCCAGUGAAGAAGGUCCUGCUCUUUGUGGUGGGGUUGACGGUAGCUGGGUUAAUGAAGCGCCGGCUAACUACGUG